GAUGAAGAACGCAGCGAAAUGCGAUAAGUAAUGUGAAUUGCAGAAUUCAGUGAAUCAUCGAAUCUUUGAACGCUUCUUGCGCUCCUUGGUAUUCUGAGGAGCAUGCCUGUUUGAGUGUCAUUAAAUUCUCAACUACACUGACUUUAAAUUGGUGUGGCUUGGAUUUGGGGGGAAAAUUGUUGUGGGCUUUUUGUAUAGUCUGCUCCCCUGAAAUUGAUUAGCGGUACCUUUGUGGAACUGUCUACAGGUGUGAUAAUUAUCUACAUCAUAGACAUCUGCUGGAAUGCUGCUUUCUAAACCUUACUUGUAUUGACAAUCUUGACCUCAAAUCAGGUAGGACUACCCGCUGAACUUAAGCAUAUCAAUAAGCGGAGGA
rnacentral:misc_RNA from 1 species